AUUGAACGCUGGCGGCAGGCCUAACACCUGCAAGUCGAGCGAGCGGCGGACGGGUGAGUAAUGUAUGGGGACUGCCCGAUAGAGGGGGGUAACUACUGGAAACGGUGGCUAAUACCGCAUACUGUCGUAUAACCCAUAUGGGAUUAGCUAGUAGGUAAGGUAAUGGCUUACCGAGGCGACGAUCCCUAGCUGGUCUGAGAGGAUGAUCAGCCACACUGGGACGGAGACACGGCCCAGACUCCUAGGGAGGCAGCAGUGGGGAAUAUUGGACAAUGGGCGCAAGCCUGAUGCAGCCAUGCCGGGUGUAUGAAGAAGGCCCUAGGGUUGUAAAGUACUUUCAGUCGGGAGGCGUUACCGACAGAAGAAGCACCGGCUAACUCCGUGCCAGCAGCCGCGGUAAUAC
rnacentral:rRNA from 1 species